GUGGUUCAUUGUUAGAAUCCUCACCUUCUAUGUGGGAGACCUGGGUUCGAUUCCCAGC
rnacentral:tRNA from 1 species